rnacentral:rRNA from 1 species
GACGAACGCUGGCGGCGUGCUUAACACAUGCAAGUCGAGCGGUAAGGCCUCUUCGGGGGUACACGAGCGGCGAACGGGUGAGUAACACGUGGGUGACCUGCCCUCAGCUCUGGGAUAAGCCUGGGAAACUGGGUCUAAUACCGGAUAUGACCUUUCCUCGCAUGGGGUUUGGUGGAAAGUUUUUUCGGCUGGGGAUGGGCCCGCGGCCUAUCAGCUUGUUGGUGGGGUGAUGGCCUACCAAGGCGACGACGGGUAGCCGGCCUGAGAGGGCGACCGGCCACACUGGGACUGAGACACGGCCCAGACUCCUACGGGAGGCAGCAGUGGGGAAUAUUGCGCAAUGGGCGGAAGCCUGACGAAGCGACGCCGCGUGGGGGAUGACGGCCUUCGGGCUGUAAACCUCUUUCGACCCCGACGAAUUUGGACGGUAGGGGUAGAAGAAGCACCGGCCAACUACGUG